rnacentral:lncRNA from 1 species
UCUAACUUCCAGGCAGCCAGCAAGAGAGUCUUUUCGGAGAACACAUGCACCCCCAAAAUAUUUAGCACACACAAACACACGCACACAGAGAAAGAUGCAGGUUCUAUAUAUAGUUUGUAUGAAUUCAAAGUUACUGUCGUUGGGAGAAGGAACUGAAAUUUCCUGAUCAUCAACGGUUUAUCUGCACUGUUUUAUUAAAUGCAUCAAGAAGAAAAAGAAGACUCAAUCAUUAAGCAUCCUCGUUAGGAUUUCCUUCCUCCCACCUUUGAAGGAUGAUCGGCGUGGAAACCUACUUUAAAACCUGGAAGAUGCCUUCUGAAUGAAUGGAACAGCCCGGAGGACUCUUGAAAGGAAAGAAUCUGAAGUUGGGCCACUUGGUCUGCUCUUUGCAACAUGUCUUGUCCACUUCUCUAUCGAACAGAAGACCGAGUCGCUUUUCUUUCUCUUUUUAAUCCCUCCCUCUCUUUUUUAUUUAAGAACUUGAUUUGAAGCAGGAAACAGAAAUGAGCUUUGGCAUACUUUGGCGGAAAAAUCAAAAGAAAAGCAGUGGGCCCACGAGAAAACAUUCGGAGGGUGUUGUCACACCGGGAUACAUCGGGACACCACCGGAUAUACUUCCUGAUCACUCCCAGGCUCCAGAGAAGCUCCGAG